rnacentral:lncRNA from 1 species
UUGUUUACCUUCCAAAAAUUAGCUUUCAUUUUUUCUCUUGGGACACAAUGGGGUCAGUACGUUUCCUCAGGAUAGCUUCUAUUUCUCUGUGUUGGUUUUAAACGUAUAUCAAUUAAAGUUUUGAUCUCUUAUCUCUUCUGUGAAAUUAGACUGUACACAAUUGAAUAUGACUGCUCUUCAUAGUCUGCUGUUCUAGCAUAGCCAUAAAAUGUAUCAAUGUAUGUGUAUAUAUGAAUAACUAUUUGAUGACAGACAUGUUGUAUAUUUAAGCAGCCAUGUCAAAACUUUAAAGGUAGAUGGCUUCAAAAGUAACAGCAUAAUCAUACUUGCAAACCAUUUUACAGAUAAACCAUGGCCUCAGCCCAGAUCUCUUAUCCUUAUCAGUACUCUGGCAACCACUCUUUCUUUUAAGACCCCGGAACACAGUUGUUUUUCAGCUGCUUUUUUUCUUCUCGCCAAGAUAUAUUUGCAUAAUGAUGACUACCUGUAACUCAAUCUUCACCAUCCAUCUCACAGCAAAGCAACCUUGGCACUGUGCCUCUGAGUUGUAUCUUCAUCGGUCUGAACCUGUGUCGCAUUGCGCACAGCAGGCGAGGUCUGCUAAUUCUGAGAGACUGAACAUUCCAUAGCUGGUACUGUGACUGUGCCCCACUGUUCAGAACAACCUUUUUUCAUGCAGUUUAUCUCCCACGUGUGCUCCGAGCACAUUUUUUCUUUCUGUCUUUUAGCCGGUUUAUAACAGUACUGCAGGAAUAGCCAUGAAAUAAAAACCUGAAUAUACUGAUUUUCCAGACCCAAGGGGAAUUUACAUUAGAAGUGAAGUUAUUAUUUUCUGAAAAGUGGCGUUAUCAUUUCUUUUAAUUCUAUUCCUAUGAUAAUACGAUGUUCCAUGUAAAUUCUCAUGUGCUGGCAUGCCUACGAGUGAAUAGUGUAAUAGAAUGCUCAGCUCUCAACAUUAGAGUGUUUUUAAGGUGAAUCGCAUUACAUAUGCCAUCUCUUUGCAGAAAGAAUAUGGGGUUUGGCAAAGCUACCUGCUGAGCAACAUAAUAAGAUUUUUGUACAAAGUACAAGUUACUGAUUAUUAUUGUAUUUUAUUUUUCUAUGAUUUCCUAAGAGGCAUUAUCAGGUCUUACGGAUGGGGUAAGCCUGUUUAUUAAGAUAUUUAUUAGCAAAUAAAAGUUACGGUACUGGUGGUUAUUUUUGAGUUAAUGGUGUUUGUUUUGCCUUGGUUUACUAAUAUAAUGAUACACAGUGAAGCCUGUCAUACAUGAUCAUGCAAAAGAAAAAAGAAAAAAAAAAACAGCUGCUUAACACAGGGUGGUGUACUAAUAAAGAUGGACCAGCAAUAUGUUCUAACACU